GCCCUUCGGGGCUUCUUGGUGAUUCAUGAUAACUUUACGGAUCGCAUGGCCUUGCGCCGGCGACGGUUCAUUCAAAUUUCUGCCCUAUCAACUUUCGAUGGUAAGGUAUUGGCUUACCAUGGUUUCAACGGGUAACGGGGAAUUAGGGUUCGAUUCCGGAGAGGGAGCCUGAGAAACGGCUACCACAUCCAAGGAAGGCAGCAGGCGCGCAAAUUACCCAAUCCCGAUACGGGGAGGUAGUGACAAUAAAUACUGAUACAGGGCUCUUUUGGGUCUUGUAAUUGGAAUGAGUACAAUUUAAACCUCUUAACGAGGAACAAUUGGAGGGCAAGUCUGGUGCCAGCAGCCGCGGUAAUUCCAGCUCCAAUAGCGUAUAUUAAAGUUGUUGCAGUUAAAAAGCUCGUAGUUGAACCUUGGGUCUGGCUGGCAGGUCCGCCUCACCGCGUGUACUUGUCCGGCCGGGCCUUCCUUCUGGAGAACCUCAUGCCCUUCACUGGGCGUGUUGGGGACCAGGACUUUUACUUUGAAAAAAUUAGAGUGUUCAAAGCAGGCCUUUGCUCGAAUACGUUAGCAUGGAAUAAUAGAAUAGGACGUGCGGUCCUAUUUUGUUGGUUUCUAGGACCGCCGUAAUGAUUAAUAGGGACAGUCGGGGGCAUCAGUAUUCAAUUGUCAGAGGUGAAAUUCUUGGAUUUAUUGAAGACUAACUACUGCGAAAGCAUUUGCCAAGGAUGUUUUCAUUAAUCAGUGAACGAAAGUUAGGGGAUCGAAGACGAUCAGAUACCGUCGUAGUCUUAACCGUAAACUAUGCCGACUAGGGAUCGGGCGAUGUUCUUUUUCUGACUCGCUCGGCACC
rnacentral:rRNA from 1 species